AUUGAACGCUGGCGGCAGGCUUAACACAUGCAAGUCGAGCGGGGGAAGGUAGCUUGCUACUGGACCUAGCGGCGGACGGGUGAGUAAUGCUUAGGAAUCUGCCUAUUAGUGGGGGGCAACAUCUCGAAAGGGAUGCUAAUACCGCAUACGUCCUACGGGAGAAAGCAGGGGAUCUUCGGACCUUGCGCUAACAGAUGAGCCUAAGUCGGAUUAGCUAGUUGGUGGGGUAAAGGCCUACCAAGGCGACGAUCUGUAGCGGGUCUGAGAGGAUGAUCCGCCACACUGGGACUGAGACACGGCCCAGACUCCUACGGGAGGCAGCAGUGGGGAAUAUUGGACAAUGGGGGGAACCCUGAUCCAGCCAUGCCGCGUGUGUGAAGAAGGCCUUAUGGUUGUAAAGCACUUUAAGCGAGGAGGAGGCUACUUUAGUUAAUACCUAGAGAUAGUGGACGUUACUCGCAGUAUAAGCACCGGCUAACUCUGUGCCAGCAGCCGCCGUAA
rnacentral:rRNA from 1 species